rnacentral:rRNA from 1 species
AUUGAACGCUGGCGGAAUGCUUACACAUGCAAGUCGAACGGCAGCACGGGAGCAAGUCCUGGUGGCGAGUGGCGAACGGGUGAGUAAUAUAUCGGAACGUGCCCAGUCGUGGGGGAGUAACGUAGCGAAAGCUACGCUAAUACCGCAUACGAUCUACGGAUGAAAGCGGGGGAUCGCAAGACCUCGCGCGAUUGGAGCGGCCGAUAUCAGAUUAGCUAGUUGGUGAGGUAAAGGCUCACCAAGGCGACGAUCUGUAGCGGGUCUGAGAGGAUGAUCCGCCACACUGGAACUGAGACACGGUCCAGACUCCUACGGGAGGCAGCAGUGGGGAAUUUUGGACAAUGGGGGCAACCCUGAUCCAGCCAUGCCGCGUGAGUGAAGAAGGCCUUCGGGUUGUAAAGCUCUUUCGGCCGGGAAGAAAUCGCAUGGGCUAAUACCCUGUGCGGAUGACGGUACCGGCAUAAGAAGCACCGGCUAACUACGUG